CGUAGGAGGUAAGCGUUAUCCGGAUUCACUGGGCGUAAAGCGCGUGCAGGUGGUGCGGUAAGUUAGGCGUGAAAUCUCCCGGCUCAACUGGGAGAGGUCGUCUAAUACUACCGUACUUGAGAGCAGAAGAGGAAGAUGGAAUUCCCGGUGUAGUGGUGAAAUGCGUAGAUAUCGGGAGGAACACCAGUGGCGAAGGCGAUCUUCUGGUCUGUUUCUGACACUCAGACGCGACAGCUAGGGUAGUAAACGGGAUUAGAGACCCCGGUAAUCCUAGCCGUAAACGAUGUGAACUUGGCGUUGGUGGGUUAAACUCCAUCAGUGCCGAAGCAAACGCGAUAAGUUCACCGCCUGGGGACUACGGCCGCAAGGUUA
rnacentral:rRNA from 1 species